rnacentral:misc_RNA from 1 species
GCAGGAUCAACCAGGUAGCAUUCCUCACGGACGCCGGCGUAGCACGAGGAUGACGAAACCCUAGGGAUACGUCACCUCAAGGCAACAACGGCAGUCGUUAGGCAACGAGCGAUGUACGCUUGUUUUCGGGCAAAUAGGGAUCAUCGACAUCCUACCCUCCGCGUAUUCAGCAUCCAAGAGCUCAAGCAAUAAUUCGAGAGCCGUGGCAACAACACGUUACGAGCGUACACGGGACACAAAAAUUGCUUCGAGGUUCACCCGAUGCCGCACCCGUAAAGGGCAGCACAAGGCGAACAUUCAACGAUCCGACAUGCAAAUUCCAACUCGUAGGGUAUGCAAAACAGGAAACCAACACAAGGCCAAGGCCACAUUGC